UACGUAGGUGGCAAGCGUUAUCCGGAAUUAUUGGGCGUAAAGCGCGCGCAGGCGGUUUCUUAAGUCUGAUGUGAAAGCCCACGGCUCAACCGUGGAGGGUCAUUGGAAACUGGGGAACUUGAGUGCAGAAGAGAAAAGCGGAAUUCCACGUGUAGCGGUGAAAUGCGUAGAGAUGUGGAGGAACACCAGUGGCGAAGGCGGCUUUUUGGUCUGUAACUGACGCUGAGGCGCGAAAGCGUGGGGAGCAAACAG
rnacentral:rRNA from 1 species